rnacentral:rRNA from 1 species
UACGAAGGGGGCUAGCGUUGCUCGGAAUCACUGGGCGUAAAGGGUGCGUAGGCGGGCCUUUAAGUCAGGGGUGAAAUCCUGGAGCUCAACUCCAGAACUGCCUUUGAUACUGAGGAUCUUGAGUUCGGGAGAGGUGAGUGGAGCUGCGAGUGUAGAGGUGAAAUUCGUAGAUAUUCGGAAGAACACCAGUGGCGAAGGCGACUUACUGGACACAUAUUGACGCUGAGGUGCGAAAGCGUGGGGAGCAAACAGG